UGGGGAAUAUUGCACAAUGGGCGCAAGCCUGAUGCAGCCAUGCCGCGUGUAUGAAGAGGGCCUUCGGGUUGUAAGGUACUUUCAGCGGGGAGGAAGGGAGUAAAGUUAAUACCUUUGCUCAUUGACGUUACCCGCAGAAGAAGCACCGGCUAACUCCGUGCCAGCAGCCGCGGUAAUACGGAGGGUGCAAGCGUUAAUCGGAAUUACUGGGCGUAAAGCGCACGCAGGCGGUUUGUUAAGUCAGAUGUGAAAUCCCCGGGCUCAACCUGGGAACUGCAUCUGAUACUGGCAAGCUUGAGUCUCGUAGAGGGGGGUAGAAUUCCAGGUGUAGCGGUGAAAUGCGUAGAGAUCUGGAGGAAUACCGGUGGCGAAGGCGGCCCCCUGGACGAAGACUGACGCUCAGGUGCGAAAGCGUGGGGAGCAAACA
rnacentral:rRNA from 1 species